UACGUAGGGUGCAAGCGUUGUCCGGAUUUAUUGGGCUAAAGAGCUCGUAGGCGGUUUGUCGCGUCGGCCGUGAAAUCUCCACGCUUAACGUGGAGCGUGCGGUCGAUACGGGCAGACUUGAGUUCGGUAGGGGAGACUGGAAUUCCUGGUGUAGCGGUGAAAUGCGCAGAUAUCAGGAGGAACACCGGUGGCGAAGGCGGGUCUCUGGGCCGAUACUGACGCUGAGGAGCGAAAGCGUGGGGAGCGAACAGG
rnacentral:rRNA from 1 species